AUUAUGGACUGUUAACCUGUAAAAUGCUCGUGAGAACAGCUUUUUGUCAUUUUGGAUCCAAGACUCUGCAAAGCAAUGGAGAAAAGAUGCAGCGUCAGCAAGUUGUGUAUUUUUUGUGUACUCUUAGCCCUGGUCUGUGUAGCCACCAUUGUCGCGCUGUGGACUAUUGCCCUGACAGGAGGAGAUGAAGGUGAUGAUGUCACAGCUCCUUGGGACAGGUACACUCUCCCCACUUCUCCAGCUCCUCUUUCCUACAACGAUACCCAGAGGAGUCCUCUGACCUUUGACCCUGACUCUGCUUUCUAACUCUUCACAGUUGAAGCAGUUGAAAGCAGAGAAUACAAAGGUUGGUGUUGGCUCCUGAAAUUUGACAGUGGACCAUCGAGGGAACCUCCAAAGAAAGAAAGAAACCAAUUCCAAUGCACUGACAACUUUGCUUUAAUGGUCUGAUUAGUCAUUGCCACAAACAAACACAUG